rnacentral:rRNA from 1 species
UAAGCGGAGGAAAAGAAACUAACAAGGAUUCCCCCAGUAACGGCGAGUGAAGCGGGAAGAGCUCAAGCUUAAAAUCUCCAUGUGUAAGCAUGGCGAAUUGUAGUCUAUAGAGGCUGUUGUCAGCACAGCGAUCUGGGAAAAGUCCCUUGGAAAAGGGCAGCACAGAGGGUGAUACUCCCGUCUUUGCUCAGAUCGUCUUGUGUGUACGAUACGCUUUCUUUGAGUCGAGUUGUUUGGGAAUACAGCUCAAAGUAGGUGGUAAAUUCCAUCUAAAGCUAAAUAUUGGUGCGAGACCGAUAGCGAACAAGUACCGUGAGGGAAAGAUGAAAAGAACUUUGAAAAGAGAGUUAAAGAGUACCUGAAACUGUUGAAAGGGAACCGUAUCGUUUCCAGUGUUAUAUCCUGUGCAUAUUUCAUUAGCGGAGCAAUUUGCUGGUGCCCUGUGCAUGGGUGUGACGUCAGAGUCAGUUUGUAUGCUGCGGGAGAUGGUCAGUGAGGAGGUGCUUCACUUCGGUGAAAGUUAUAUCUUGCUGUCUAGUAGCCGUGGUUGAGACUGAGGUGCCUACAACAUGCCUUGGGGUUCGGGGCUGUCUUGUUUUGGAAACUGCUUGGAUAGCUUGCUAUGUCUGUGGUUUUUCAGAGCAAUUGAUGGUGUCGAUAAC